CAGUUAAACCUUUUCUUUAUAAAUUACCCAGACUUGGGUACGUCUUUAUUGGCAGCUUGAGAAUGGACCAGUAAAAAAGGCUAGAACUGAAUCUAUGUGGAGAAAAUGUAGUGGGGAGGGGGUGUGCAAACUCUUAGGAAGUAAGUGUUUUCACAGUCAAUAGAAUAUAAGAUAGCAACCCUUGUGCUUUGCUGGUAGACAUGUAAAAUGGUUCAGGUUCUGUACAAAACAGUGUGGCCGUUCCUCAAGAUUUUAACCACAGAGUUACAAUAAAAUCCAGCAAUUCCUCUUCUGAGUGUUUACUCAAAAGAAUGCAAAGUGAGGACUUGAACAAUAUUUGUACUCCAAUGUUCUUAGCAGCUUCAUUUACAAUAGCCAAAACGUGAAAACAAUCCAAAUGUCCAUUGACAGAUGAAUGGAUAAACAAAAUGUGGUAAAUACAUAUAAUGGGAUAUUAUUCAGCCUUAAAAAGGAAGGAAAAUCUGACAUGUGCUACCACAUGAAUGACCCUUGACAUUAUGCUAAGUGAAACAAGCCAGACACAAAAGGAUAAACAUUAUAUGUGAGGUAUCCAGAAUAGUCAAAUUCAUAAAGACAGAAAGCAAAAAGGAAGUUACCAGGGGUUGAAGGGAGUGGAAAUGAGGAGUUAGUGUUUGAUGGGUACAGAAUUUCACUUUGAGAAGAUGGAAAAUUCUAAAUCUGGAUGGUGGUGAUGGUUACACAGUAAUAGCAAUGAACUUGACACUUAAAAACUGUUAAAAUGACAAAUUAUAUGAUAUCUAUAUUUUACCAGAAUAAAAAAUAAAUACAAUAUUAAAGCUACCUACAACAAACAAAUCAAUACUGUCAUUCUAAGAAUGCUAGGUGAGUAAUAAUGUGUUUUGCAAAUUAAUUUCCUUUUAUCACUCUUUAGACAGUCUCAAUAAUCAUUUCUGUGGUGUCAUUAAGAUGGCUGUGAAAUUCACCUAACUUCGUUGUAGAUUAUAAACAGACUAGAGGUGAUUUAUUUUGCCUUCAUCUGGUCCUUCAUCAAAAUACUUAAUAAAUGUUUGGUCUUAUGUAUGAAAAUGUCCUUCCUUUUGCACCCUAGGUUAUGCCAUAACAAGCAAAGAUUUGUGGAUUUGUGAGACAUAAAAAUGUUUAUGAUGUGCAACUCUAGCCACCAGGAGCCAACAUUCUUUCAGUGGAUAAAAAGGAGUUCCAAUACUUUUUCUUACUAAGGAAAUGGAUUGCAAGGGAUGGUGAAUUAUUAAAAUACUCCUGCACCUGCAACUCCACCCCACAGCCUUGUGAUGCUGGCUGCUCUCUUGGUCUUGGUCUCGUCAAAGCAUCCCAAGUUUGGCUACUUUCUUCAGCAUCCGCAUAGCCCAGGGGAAGCUCCAUAUCACAGCCAAGGCUACCACGUUCUGCCUCUUCAAUAUCCAUCAGCUUCUCCCUGCUCAGACUACAUGGAGUGGAGGGUGCAGCAGCUGUGCCAGCUGAGCCCUGGUGUAUUUGGCCCAACAAGGAUAAAUCUAGCACCUUCCUCUUUAAGGGGAGGUGGAGGGAUUUAGCUCAAGAAGGAUAAAUCUAGCACCUCCCUCUCAAAGGGGGAAUGGGAGGAUUCACUGCUCCUUCUCUUUUCAAGCACUUAUCAAAUAUAUCUAGACCAGUA
rnacentral:lncRNA from 10 species